rnacentral:rRNA from 1 species
CCUACGGGAGGCAGCAGUGAGGAAUAUUGGUCAAUGGCCGGAAGGCUGAACCAGCCAAGCCGCGGGAGGGAGGAAGGCGCAGAGCGUCGCAGACCUCUUUUGCCGGGGGACAAAAGGCCGGACUCGUCCGGUCCUGAGGGUACCCGGAGAAAAAGCAUCGGCUAACUCCGUGCCAGCAGCCGCGGUAAUACGGAGGAUGCGAGCGUUAUCCGGAUUCAUUGGGUUUAAAGGGUGCGCAGGCGGGCCUUUAAGCCGGCGGUGAAAUCGCGGGGCUCAACCCCGCCGAGCCGUCGGAACUGGGGGCCUUGCGUGCGGCGGCGGCAUGCGGCAUGCGCGGUGUCGCGGUGACAUGCAUAUAUCUCGCGC